UGGGGAAUAUUGGGCAAUGGGGGAAACCCUGACCCAGCAACGCCGCGUGAGGGAAGAAGGUCUUCGGAUUGUAAACCUCUGUAAUCGGGGACGAAGAAUUGACGGUACCCGAUAAGCAAGCCCCGGCUAACUACGUGCCAGCAGCCGCGGUAAUACGUAGGGGGCAAGCGUUGUCCGGAAUUACUGGGCGUAAAGGGAGCGUAGGCGGUUUUUUAAGUCAGAUGUGAAAUAUCCAGGCUCAACCUGGAGGGUGCAUUUGAAACUGGAAGACUUGAGUGCAGGAGAGGAAAGUGGAAUUCCUAGUGUAGCGGUGAAAUGCGUAGAUAUUAGGAGGAACACCAGUGGCGAAGGCGACUUUCUGGACUGUAACUGACGCUGAGGCUCGAAAGCGUGGGGAGCAAACA
rnacentral:rRNA from 1 species